rnacentral:rRNA from 1 species
UACGUAGGGGGCAAGCGUUGUCCGGAUUUAUUGGGCGUAAAGAGCGUGUAGGCGGUCAGGUAGGUCCGUUGUGAAAACUCGAGGCUCAACCUCGAGACGCCGAUGGAAACCAUCUGACUAGAGUCCGGAAGAGGAGAGUGGAAUUCCUGGUGUAGCGGUGAAAUGCGCAGAUAUCAGGAAGAACACCAAUGGCGAAGGCAGCUCACUGGGACGGUACUGACGCUGAGACGCGAAAGCGUGGGGAGCAAACAGGG